rnacentral:tRNA from 1 species
GACCUUGUAGCAUAGUCUGGAUAGUGUUGUGGGUUUCGGCCCCACCGGCCCGGGUUCGAAUCCCGGCAAGGUCU